AGUGGCGGACGGGUGAGUAACGCGUGGGUAACCUGCCUCACACAGGGGGAUAACAGUUGGAAACGACCGCUAAUACCGCAUAAGCCGGAAGGAUCGCAUGAUUCGGCCGGAAAAGAUUUAUCGGUGUGAGAUGGACCCGCGUCUGAUUAGCCAGUUGGCAGGGUAACGGCCUACCAAAGCGACGAUCAGUAGCCGGCCUGAGAGGGUGAACGGCCACAUUGGGACUGAGACACGGCCCAAACUCCUACGGAAGGCAGCAG
rnacentral:rRNA from 1 species